rnacentral:rRNA from 1 species
UACAGAGGUCCCAAGCGUUGUUCGGAUUCAUUGGGCGUAAAGGGUGCGUAGGUGGUAGACUAAGUCGGAUGUGAAAUCCCAGGGCUCAACCCUGGAACUGCAUUCGAUACUGGCCUGCUCGAGGACUGGAGAGGAGAUUGGAAUUUAUGGUGUAGCAGUGAAAUGCGUAGAUAUCAUAAGGAAGACCAGUGGCGAAGGCGGAUCUCUGGGCCUGUUCUGACGCUGAGGCGCGAAAGCUAGGGGAGCAAACGGG